AUGGUCCAGCCUGGGAGGUCCCUGAGACUCUCCUGUCCAGCCACUGGAUUCACCUUCAGUGACUACUACAUGAACUGGGUCCACCAGGCUCUAGGGAAGGGGCUGGAGAUCCUCUUCCUGGUGGCAGCAGCUACAUGUGCCCACUCCCAGGUCCAGCUGGUGCAGUCCGGGGCUGAGGUGAGGCCACCUGGGGCCUCUGUGAAGGUGUCCUGCAAGGCUUCCGGAUACACCUUCACCAGCUACUAUAUGCACUGGGUGAAACAGGCCCCUGGACAAGGGCUGGAGUGGAUGGGACGUGUUGACCCUGAAGAUGGUUCCACAAGUUACGCGAAGAAGUUCCAGGGCCGAGUCACCAUGACAGCAACCACAUCCACAAACACAGCCUUCAUGGAGCUGAGCAAUCUGAGACCUGAGGACACUGCUGUGUAUUACUGUGCAAGAAACACAGUGUGA